CGGAUAACGACCUCUUGGAUCCUGUUCUCAUUUUAAGUUUUGUUGGGACUUCAUUAAUAAAAUGAUCUUCCUGAGACUUACUUGUCAUCCUCCCUAAUUUUAUAUUCCGGCUCGAUUGUUGGGAUCGGCCUGGCGAAGACUACGACAUCAACCUGCUUGAUUGCCUUUACAUUAAGAAUUUUCCGAUGAAUACUGUGGCUCCAAUGAUCAUGAUCUUGCCUCUCUCGGCCUUUGAAGACGAUGAUGAGUUUCACAAGGCGGGUUAUGUAAGGGAGUGAUCAAACUAUGGAUAAUUUUAUUGGAAUCAAGAGCUCAAUGCGUGGAAAUUCAAAAUUUUAUUGAAUUAUGCCAGUUCUGAUUUUUUUUUUAAAUUAUGAGUAACUUGUUCCAUGACUUUAAUUUGAGAUGUAUAUCCGGACCUAGAGAUAGAAACAUCCACGUUCAUUGCAAGUUUAA